GGGGCCGUAGCUCAGCUGGGAGAGCGCUACAAUGGCAUUGUAGAGGUCUGGGGUUCGAUCCCCCACGGCUCCACCA
rnacentral:tRNA from 1 species